rnacentral:rRNA from 1 species
GCUGUGGUAAGACACAGUGGAGGCCCGAACUCACCGCCGUUGAAAAGUUGGGAGAUGAGGUAGGUUUAGGGGUGAAAAGCCAAUCGAACUAGGAGAUAGCUCGUUCUCUCCGAAAUGCAUUUAGGUGCAGCCUUGAGUGUUUAAUUAUGGGGGUAGAGCACUGAAUGAACUAGGGGGCAUAUUGCUUACUGAAUUCAAUCAAACUCCGAAUACCAUAAUUCAAAGCUCAGGAGUGAGACUAUGGGAAUUAACUUCCAUUGUCAAAAGGGAAACAACCCAGACCACCAGCUAAGGUCCCUAAUUAUAACUAAGUGGGAAAGGAGGUGGAGAUUCACAAACAACCAGGAGGUUGGCUUAGAAGCAGCCAUACCUUUAAAGAGUGCGUAAUAGCUCACUGGUCGAGAGUCUCUGCGCCGACAAUGUAACGGGGCUAAGUUAUAAACCGAAGCUGUGGAAUUGCGCAAGCAAUUGGUAGGAGAGCGUUCUGUAGGCCGUUGAAGGAGAAGCGCAAGCAACUCUGGAGGUAUCAGAAGUGAGAAUGCAGGAAUAAGUAGCGAGAAAGGGGGCGAGAAUCCCCCUCGCCGGAAGACCAAGGUUUUCAGGGUAAAGCUUGUCUUCCCUGAGUAAGCCGGGACCUAAGCCGAGGCUAAAAUGCGUAGGCGAAUGGAAAACAGAUUAAUAUUUCUGUGCCAGUUAUAUUUUGUGAAGGAGGGACGCAGAAGGGUAUGUGCGCGGGAGAACGGAAGUUCCCGUAGAAGCAUGUAGAGUGGUCUAGUAGGCAAAUCCGCUAGAUUAGACUUGAGGUGUGAUAUAUAGUCGUAAGAUGAAUGCACAAAUCCCACGCUGCCGAGAAAAGCUUCUAACGUUAAGGUAUAACUGCCCGUACCCGAAACCGACACAGGUGGUCAGGAUGAGAAAUCUAAGGCGGACAGGCUAACUCUCGUUAAGGAACUCUGCAAAAUAGCCCCGUAACUUUGGGAGAAGGGGUGCCCCUGAAUGUUAAUAUACACGCGAUAUGAAGCAUUUGGGGGUCGCAGUGAAGAGGCUCAAGCAACUGUUUAACAAAAACACAGGUCUAUGCUAAGCUGUAAGGCGAUGUAUAUGGGCUGACACCUGCCCAGUGCCGGAAGGUUAAGAGGAGGAGUGAGAGCUCCGAAUUGAAGCCCCGGUGAACGGCGGCCGUAACUAUAACGGUCCUAAGGUAGCGAAAUUCCUUGUCGGGUAAGUUCCGACCUGCACGAAUGGUGUAAUGAUUUGAGCGCUGUCUUGACGGGAGGCCUGGUGAAAUUGUACUACCGGUGAAGAUACCGGUUACCUACAGUAGGACGGAAAGACCCCAUGGAGCUUUACUGUAGCUUGGUAUUGGGUUUUGGCAUUGCAUGUAUAGGAUAGUUGGGAAACUAAGAAGGUAUGGCGCUAGCUGUAUUGGAGUUGUCGGUGGAAUACCAACCAUUCAAUGUUGAAAUUCUAAUCUGUGGUUUGUAGCCACGGAAACAGUGCUAGGUGGGCAGUUUGACUGGGGCGGUCGCCUCCGAAAGAGUAACGGAGGCGUUCAAAGGUUCUCUCAGGUUGGAUGGAAAUCAACCGCAGAGUGCAAUGGCAUAAGAGAGCUUAACUGCAAGACUGACGGGUCGAGCAGGUGCGAAAGCAGGACAUAGUGAUCCGGCGAUUCCGAAUGGAAGGGUCGUCGCUCAACGGAUAAAAGCUACCCUGGGGAUAACAGGCUGAUUUUGCCCGAGAGUCCAUAUCGACGGCAAAGUUUGGCACCUCGAUGUCGGCUCAUCGCAUCCUGGGGCUGGAGAAGGUCCCAAGGGUUGGGCUGUUCGCCCAUUAAAGCGGUACGUGAGCUGGGUUCAGAACGUCGUGAGACAGUUCGGUCCCUAUCCACUGUAGGCGUUAGAAUAUUGAGAAGAUCUGUCCUUAGUACGAGAGGACCGGGAUGGACAAACCUCUGAUGUACCAGUUGUCACGCCAGUGGCACAGCUGGGUAGUCACGUUUGGAACGGAUAACCGCUGAAAGCAUCUAAGCGGGAAACCAGCUUCAAGAUAAGUAUUCUUUAAGACUCCUUCGAGACUAGAAGGUUGAUAGGUUGGGGGUGUAAGGGCUGCGAGGCUUUUAGCUGACCAAUACUAAUAAGUCAAAGUUUUAACCUA